UUUCUUGAUUCCUUCAAGUAUUGAAACCUGUUUUUUAGUUGUUGCUUAUGCCUUGGUGAAUUUUUUUCCCUGGCUUCGCAGAGAAACGAGCAUUCAUUUCCAGGUACUUGAAAUGCUGAAGGAGCAAGUUUUGUCGGUUUCUUGAUAAAAUGGUUCAAGAGAGAAUUGGACCAAUUUUUGAGGUGCUCUUGCUUGCUGCACUCUGUGGGAUAGAUGGAUAAAACUUGCCUACAUUCCUGAAGAGAUAUGAAAGCAUCUUCGUAUUUGCCAGGCUGAUGAUGUAUACAUUUCAGUCGCUGAUUGAGGAAUGUGUUGAUUCUUGUUUUGUACUGGCCUUUGUACCAUCGUUCUUAGCUUAUGUGGGAAUGACUAAUGAGGGUGAGAUAGAUUGAUGUGAUGGAAAAUAUUGCUAUUGAGGAACCAUGGCAGAACCUCGUUCUUGGUAAUAAUAUGCAUUGCUGCUUGUGGAAAGAAGAGGAUGGAGAGUUCAUGCUUUAAAGCUGGUUUCCCUGGGAUUCAUUUUUAUUAGGACAUAAACCAAGAUCUUCUGCUGUCGAUGGAAGGGGUUUCUAGACAAAUCUACAUCUGAAAGCAGAGAUGAUGACGAAGUUCAACUUCUUUUGAGAAACAUAUAGUUUACUUGAUUCAAAUUCAAUACAAAUGUUAGGGUGAAUUUGAUAUAUGUCCCCUGUAAUAAUAAUACAUGUUCAUCGAUAGCUUACUUUUGAUGUACUAUUCAAACUUUCACUUAUCUCCCUUUGUUACAUGGGGUUAUAUGUCAAACACCCUUCAUUGGGAUUUUAA